CCUACGGGUGGCAGCAGUGAGGAAUAUUGGUCAAUGGACGAGAGUCUGAACCAGCCAAGUCGCGUGAAGGAUGACUGCCCUAUGGGUUGUAAACUUCUUUUAUAUGGGAAUAAAACGUUCCACGUGUGGGAUUUUGUAUGUACCAUAUGAAUAAGCAUCGGCUAACUCCGUGCCAGCAGCCGCGGUAAUACGGAGGAUCCGAGCGUUAUCCGGAUUUAUUGGGUUUAAAGGGUGCGUAGGUGGAUUGUUAAGUCAGUUGUGAAAGUUUGGGGCUCAACCGUAAAAGUGCAGUUGAAACUGGCAGUCUUGAGUACAGUAGAGGUGGGCGGAAUUCGUGGUGUAGCGGUGAAAUGCUUAGAUAUCACGAAGAACUCCGAUUGCGAAGGCAGUUCACUGGACUGCAACUGACACUGAGGCACGAAAGUGUGGGUAUCAAACAGGAUUAGAUACCCCGGUAGUC
rnacentral:rRNA from 1 species